GACGAACGCUGGCGGCGUGCUUAACACAUGCAAGUCGAACGGAAAGGCCUCUUUCGGGGGGUACUCGAGUGGCGAACGGGUGAGUAACACGUGAGUAACCUGCCCUGUACUUUGGGAUAACUUCAGGAAACUGGGGCUAAUACCGGAUAGGAGCUCCUGCUGUAUGGUGUGGGUUGGAAUGUUUCGGCGGUUGGGGAUGGUCUCGCGGCUUAUCAGCUUGUUGGUGGGGUAGUGGCUUACCAAGGCUUUGACGGGUAGCCGGCCUGGGAGGGUGACCGGCGCACUGGGGACUGAGAGACGCCCCAGAAGCCUACGGGCGGCAGUGGUGGGGAAUAUUGCACAAUGGGGGGAAGCCUGAGGAAGCAACGCCCGGUGCGGGAUGACGGCCUGCGGGUUGUAAACCGCUUUCGCUCAUGACGAAGCUUUGUGUGACGGUAGUGGGUAAAGAAGCACCGGCUAACUACGUG
rnacentral:rRNA from 1 species